UCGUCGCGCCGUCGUGUUCAUACCCCGCUGAUUCCACUUUCCCCCCGCCGUGCGCCAUCGCCAGCAGCAAUAGGCCCGCCACGCUUACAGCGUUCCUUCGCCAGAGAUGUAUCCCUAAUGGCCAAUUAUCUCUCGGGAUGGUGCACCAUCCGCCCCUACGCCCUCGGCGUGUCGCCACGAGCUACCCUGCCGGAGCUCCGCCUGACUGACGAAUCAUCAACGUUCCGGGCAAAGCUGGUCACUCAGACUCCUGCAAAUGUGAUAAUUGCUGAGCUUAUCUUGAACAAAAACCACACAAAAAGUCAGAGCAGCGUUAGAUCGUCCAAGCCUCCAAGCAUCUUCAUACCAUUCUCCUUCUCUUCAUUGGCUCCAUAUGAAAGCAGCUCCUUCCUUUUGAUCAUAGGGUGGAAGAAGUCUGAAUAGGUAUGACUCCCCUCCCAGUUUUCGUCCUCCUGUCAUUGGUUUGUUUAUGCAAAUCCGAUGACCGCCUUACUCCCGAAAAAUCACUCAACGCUGGUGAUAAGCUCGUUUCGAGCGGCGGCAUCUUUGCUCUUGGCUUCUUCACCCCGGCAAACUCAACUGCGGACACGUACAUCGGCAUAUGGUACAACAAGAUCCCUGAGCGCACUUAUGUGUGGGUCGCUAACCGCGACAAGCCGAUCAAGAAUGGUUCUCCUGGGAAGCUGGCUAUGAGCAGCGACUCUGACCUUGUCUUGUCUGACUCCCAAGGCCGAACUCUAUGGACAACCACAAACAACUUCACAUCCGCAACCACCGGAACUGCUGCUAUACUGUUUGAUUCCGGAAACUUGGUCAUCCGGUUGCCGAAUGGCACAGACAUAUGGCAGAGCUUCCAUUACCCGACUGACACCGCCCUCCCUGACAUGGUUUUACCACUGAGCACAAAUGAUGGUAUCUUGAUGCGCCUCAUUGCUUGGAGGGCCCCUGAUGACCCGGCCUCCAGCGACUACUCCAUGGGUGGUGACUCUAGCUCAGACCUUCAGGUUGUAAUCUGGAAUGGGACGAGACCGUAUUGGCGUAGAUCUGCGUGGGAUGGGUCAUUGGUCUCUGCCCUGUAUCAAAGCAACACUGGCUUCAUCGUAACUGAAACAAUUGUCGACAGAGGGGGUGAGUUAUACAUGACAUUCACCGUCUCUGAGGGCUCACCAAGCAUGCGCAUGACACUGGACUACAAAGGCACUUUUAAAUUUCUGGUCUGGAACAGCAACUCGUCAUCAUGGGAGGCUUUCAUAGAGCAUCCUAGUCCUAUCUGUGAACGCUACGCCUAUUGCGGACCAUUUGGCUACUGUGAUGCCGCUGAAACAGUUCCGAAAUGCAACUGCCUCAGUGGGUUUGAGCCUGAUGGCGUCAACUUCUCCAGAGGAUGUCGGAGAAAGGAGGAUCUGAAAUGUGGUAUUGACAAUAAUUUCUCGACCCUGAGAGGUAUGAAGACACCUGACAAGUUCUUGUAUGUCAGGAACAGAAGUUUUGACCAAUGCACAGAAGAGUGCAGACGCAAUUGCUCUUGCUCCGCAUAUGCUUAUGCUAACCUGAGAAAUGGAAGUGCUUAUGCUAACCUGAAAAAUGGAAGUGGGGCUGCGGACCAGUCAAGGUGCUUAAUUUGGUUAGGAGGACUUGUCGACACGGGGAAAUUUCGUGAUGGUGGUGGUGAGAACCUGUACCUCCGCCUUGCCAGUUCAACAGUUGACAAGGAGAGUAAGGUAUUGAAGAUUAUACUCCCAAUAGUGGCUAGUCUGCUGAUACUCGCAUCCAUCUGCCUUGUGUGGAUAUGCAAGUCAAGAGGUAAACGACGAAUCAAGGAGAUUAAGAACAAACAUACGCCACAGCACUUGCAAAAUUCCAAGUUGAACGAACUUGAGAAUGAAAGUAUAGACCUUCCAUAUAUUUGCUUUGAAGACAUUGUUACUGCAACAGACAAUUUCUCAGACUACAAAAUGCUUGGGAAAGGUGGCUUUGGAAAAGUUUACAAGGGACUAUUAGGAGGUGGUGGUAAGGAAGUUGCUGUCAAAAGGCUUAGUAAAAGUUCCGGCCAAGGGGCCGAGGAGUUCAGAAAUGAAGUUGUUCUAAUUGCCAAAUUACAGCAUAGAAACUUAGUUAGACUUCUUGGUUACUGCACUUAUGAAGAUGAGAAGUUAUUGAUAUAUGAAUACUUACCUAACAAAAGCUUGGAUGCCUUCCUUUUUGAUGCAACAAGAAAUUCUGUGCUUGAUUGGCUUACCCGGUUCAAGGUAAUUAAAGGGAUAGCAAGAGGGCUUCUUUAUCUCCACCAAGAUUCAAGGUUAACAAUAAUUCAUAGGGAUCUCAAAGCAAGCAAUGUCUUGUUAGAUGCAGAAAUGAACCCUAAAAUAUCAGAUUUUGGUAUGGCAAGGAUAUUUGGAGGAAAUGAGCAACAAGCGAACACUAUCCACGUUGUUGGGACAUAUGGUUACAUGUCUCCUGAAUAUGCAAUGGAAGGUUCCUUUUCUGUCAAGUCUGACACUUAUAGCUUUGGCGUUCUACUGUUGGAGAUUGUAAGUGGGUCAAAGAUCAGUUCAUCCCAUUUCAUGACGGACUUUACAAGCCUUAUAGCUUACGCCUGGAGCUUAUGGAAAGAUGGAAAUGCAAGAGAAUUGGUGGACUCGUCCAUUGUGGAGAACUGUCCACUUCAUGAAGUUCUACGAUGUGUUCAUAUAGGUCUCUUGUGUGUUCAAGACAAUCCAAAUGCCAGGCCGCUCAUGUCAUCCACUGUGUUCAUGCUAGAAAAUGAAACGGCUCUGCUUCCUACUCCGAAGGAGCCUCUAUACUUUAGGCAACGGUAUGAUGAGGUUGAAGACCAAAGAGAUACCAUGGGAAUAACCCUGAAUAAGAUGACUAUCACUAUGCAAGAGGGACGUUAGAUGUUUAAUUCAUUGUUCUCCUUUUUUGUAAUCUUCUCCAGUUUGUACAGGUAGAGUGGGCAAAACUUCAGGCAUGGAGAACUAUUGAAAGUUCAGGUUCAACCUGACCAGAAAAGUAAGAAAAAAGUGGGGCUUCUGUGAAUAUCUCAGUAUCUAUCAGAAAGGUAGAAAGGUCCAUUUAAGUGAUCUUGAAGCGGUAAGACCAGAAUAAAUUGCCAGCCUAACUUAUCCCGAAUCAUACAUACCUCCUCUGAAGUUUCAGACAUCACAUUAAAAUAUUUAGCCACUACAUCUGCACCACCUCUUUCAUAGUUUCAUCAUUGAGAUAGUAUUGUUUGCGCUUCAAAACAAUAAUCUUGAAGUGCGCGUGCAUACUGUCAAUUGUGAUGGCCUGGUAACUUUAGGAUUUUUUUUUCUUUUCAAAAGACGGGCCUUCAGUAUAUCCAUGGUGCUGCCGGAGAAUGAAGAUAAAGGUGCUGAAUUUGACUGUGGGUCUCCGCACGAUCUGAUGUUGUUGAACAUUGUCUUUCAUGUUGCUUUAUGAUUUCGACCAUUACACCAACUUAGGGUGUUUGAGCUGCAUUGUGGUAGCUUUCAUUGAAGGUGAAAACAGAGUUAAAUUCCAAGGUUACCAUUAGUUCUUUUUGUGGCAAGAAACAGUCAAGUUCUCUGACAAGUACACAGGCUUCGUUUGUCCCAAUAACAGGACAAUCAGAGGUUCAACUUUAUAUAUCCAUGUCACAGAAAAAAUUGGUGUGAUGAGGAGAAAUUAAUUAUAUAAUUCAUAAUAUUUUAUAUCAAUGCCACAGAAAAAACAGGACAUGUCGCCUGAAUAUGCCUUGGAAGGCAUUUUCUCUGUCAGGUCCGACACAUAUAGCUAUGGGAUCUUGCUACUGGAGAUUGUAAGUGGGCUGAAGAUCAGCUCACCUUACCAUAUUAUGAGGGAUUUCCCAAACGUUAUAGAUUACAUAAGUACAACACAACGAAUAAAAAUACUAUAACUGUUUAUGCUCGACCAUGUUUCAGGCAUGGAACUUACUGAAAGAAGGAAAAUCGGGGAUUUCCUGGAGACAGUGCUUCUGAAGAGCUGUUUACUGCAUCAAGUGUCGCUGUGCAUUCAUAUUUGGCUCUUGUGUGCCAGGCCACUCAUGUGUUGGUCGUGUCUAUGCUGGACAGUGAGGCCGUGCCACUCACAACACCAGAGCAGCCUUUGUAUUUUGUUGGAAGGAGGCAUGAAGCGGAAGAAGCAAGGGAGGACUCUGUUAACAAGGCAAGCCUGACGACGCUAGCAGGGCGUUGGAUGCUUAUUAUUCCUUGCAGUGAGGUAAUCUGUGUGCCCUGGAACAUCAAAGGGAAGCAGAUUAUGAUUAACUUCCAAGUGGGCUUUAGUGGCCAACUGCUGGUGGAGAAUCCUCUUUCCCGUUGAUAUCGUGUCCUCCUCGAAUGGUUGGUCUAAAAUUAAUACUGAUGCUUGCUCUGAUCCAUUGACUGCUCAAUCUUGUUUCGGUGCUAUCGUUCGGAACAGCGCCGGUUGGCCGGUUCUUGCUGCUUGGACUCAUUGCCCAGUAUGGAAAACUGCUGGAAGUUCAGCUUCAUCCUCAACGAAAAGUCAGAAAAGUGGGGCUUCCUUGAAUCUCCCAGUGUCUAUCAGAAAGGAAGCAGAGUCAAGUUCUAUGACAACUGACAAGUGCACAAGCUUCUUUUGCCCCAAGAACAGGACAAUCAGAGGUUCAACUUUACAUCCAUGCCACAGGAAAAUUUGCGGGCCAAGGAGAAAUUAAGUAAUACUACAUUUUAUAUAUCUCUUCCAAGUACUUUAUUGCAAUCUCCUUAAAGAUCAAUCGAUUUUAUGCCAACCAUCCCACUACGAUGUUCAGUUUCCUAUUAAAAAAAUAAAAACUGGUGCUUUACUCUUUUCAUUUCAGCAGUCAUCCACACAGAUAGACUCCGCAAGACCUAAAAGUGUAUUGGAAAUUGGUGCGAUACCACCAAAACGUAAAGCAGAGGAGAUGAGGUAUUAGCUUGUUGCUAGGGCAAAGUCUAGUUUCAGUGCAAGACUACAGUUGAGAUUCAGUCGUUUCUCGGCGUGUCGAACUUACCUGAAUUUCCGUGCCACGGUUCGCUUUCGGUUGAAUUUCAUCGCUCAUACCAGAAGAGACAUGUAUGUAGUGCUCCUGCAGCUGGGAGAGCU